ACGGGGGGUGCAAGCGUUGUUCGGAAUCAUUGGGCGUAAAGCGCGUGUAGGCGGCUUGGUAAGUCAGGUGUGAAAGCCCUGGGCUCAACCCAGGAAGUGCACUUGAAACUGCCUUGCUUGAGUACGGGAGAGGAAAGCGGAAUUCCUGGUGUAGAGGUGAAAUUCGUAGAUAUCAGGAGGAACACCGGUGGCGAAGGCGGCUUUCUGGCCCAAUACUGACGCUGAGACGCGAAAGCGUGGGGAGCAAACAG
rnacentral:rRNA from 1 species